CUCCUGGUUUCCGGGACGGAUAGGGUCGAUUCUGGAGAAGGAGCCUGAGAACGGCUACUACAUCUACGGAAGGCAGCAGGCGCGUAAAUUACCCAAUCUUGACUCAGGGAGGUGGUGACAAGAUAUAAUGACGCUAUGAAAAAUAGUGAUUAUAGUGAGGGUAUUCCAAACCGAACCACAAGUACGAUUAGAGGGCAAGUCUGGUGCCAGCAGCUGCGGUAAUUCCAGCUCUAAUAGCGUAUAUUAAAGUUGCUGCAGUUAAAAAGCUCGUAGCUGGAUUUCAAGGAACACGUAUUCCCCCUUCAUUUUGUGCCCUACUAGCCCUUUCGGCUGUUACUGUGAGAAAAUUAGAGUGUUUAAAGCAAGCUUUUGCAAGAAUACAUUAGCAUGGAAUAACGAAUGAGUCUAGAAUCUAGUAAUCUGAUCCGACAGAGAGACAGAGGGGGCAUAGUAUUCACUGUCAGAGGUGAAUCUGGAUUUGUUAUAUUACCUAUCGUAUGCGAAGCAUUGCCAAGGAUGUUUCAUCAUCCACCACGAACACUAGGGAUCAAAGACAAUCAGAUACUGUCGUAGUCUAUCUAUAACUAUGCGACUAGGAUGAGUGGGCUCAACACAUUUCAGUACCUUAUGAGAAUCAAGUCUGGGUCUGGGGGGAGCUCUGUCGCAAGACUGAACUAGAAUGACGAGGACCACAGGAUGGAGCUGCGCUAUGACUCAACGGAACUACAGUCGACAUAAAGACUGCAUGAGCUUUCUGAUCUAGGGUGGGGCAUGCGUCUAUUGGGGAGGAUUGCUGUAAUCCG
rnacentral:rRNA from 1 species